rfam:Dipodomys ordii contig_23767, whole genome shotgun sequence.
GGUGGCUCAGUGGUAGAGUGCUUGCCUAGAAUGCAUGAGACCCUGAAUUCGAUUACUCAGCACCA